rnacentral:rRNA from 1 species
UACGUAGGGUGCAAGCGUUAAUCGGAAUUACUGGGCGUAAAGGGCGCGUAGGCGGUGCGGUAAGUCACCUGUGAAACCUCUGGGCUUAACUCAGAGCCUGCAGGCGAAACUACCGUGCUGGAGUGUGGGAGAGGUGCGUGGAAUUCCCGGUGUAGAGGUGAAAUUCGUAGAUAUUCGGAAGAACACCAGUGGCGAAGGCGACUUACUGGACACAUAUUGACGCUGAGGUGCGAAAGCGUGGGGAGCAAACAGG